CAUUAUCUUAGGACUCGUUUGUAGUCCUAAAUCGAACUAUCAACAACAAUUUGAGAAACAAAAACAAAGAAUGUUGCUAGCCUCUUCAAUACUUUUAGAAGGCAUAAUACCAUGUUAUUUGCUUUCCAUCCCAAUCCAUUACCAUUUCUGAAAGCAUUUUCUAGUAAAAUGCUUGUGAAAGCUUUGUGUAUAUGUUGAAACGGAAAAGCUAAGUGAAGUAUAUUUAACGUUCUCCUACAAUUACCUACUCGCAAUAUGAUCAUGACGAAGACGGCGGAGCGACGAUAUUACGAACAGAAGCAGACGUGGGAGGAUUACGAAAGUGUUUCUUCAUAUCCAAAGCAAAAUUGGAACCAUUCUUGUGCCAGAAAGGUUGGCUUCAAAACUAGCACGUAGAGCUCUCGAGUUAGACAUCAAGGUCGACUCUUCGAUAAUCUUCUUACCGCAUCGAAAAUGGCCAGCAACAAGAGGAGAUGAUGGAAUACUCGUUGAAUCCUUUGACGGGCGAAAAGGGCCAUAGAACAGGUAUUUCCCACCAAACCAAUCACACCCAGAACCAUCAAAAGAAAACCUUCGGUGAGCCAUUGAAACCAGUCAGCCUCCAUUGUGGUCAGUAUCUAAAAGGGAAAAGGAGCCAUCCAUCAGCAAGUAUCAAAUAAGUAAAUUAUCUUGAACAAAAAAUACAAUUCUAGAGAGACUGAUGAUAACCCAUUUUUUGAGGUAGAAACACGAAAAGCCCAAGACGGCAUUAAUGGAGCGCUAACCUUUUCACAUUAUCUCCCAGGCGAAGUGGGACAGUGUCAUACCGUCAACGAAUUCAAAAAUAAAUAUGAUUCCCAUAACAAGAUUUAACUUUCAACAUUAUCGCCCUUCCUAUGUCAAAACGUGUUCUCUUUUUCACUAUUUCCAUAAUGCAAGCAACCCUAAUAUCUUCUUAAUGACUAUUAAUGGUCCCUGAAGAUUAAUAAAACCUUGUAACCUUGUAGCAUCAUUGCUCCUUGGAAGUGACCUCAAA